AUGGCAGCUGAAGUGUCAGUGGGGAUUCGAAGAGAUCUUGUAUUUCCCGCAGUGGAUCCUUGCGCUCUAAGGGCUACAAAGCAAGACUGCUUUUUUUUUUUCCCUGUGCAAAAGGUGCUGGUUUAUGUGCCUGUAUUGCUUCCUGAACAAUAGGAAUAAUGAAAGAAGGUUAAGAAAUAGGAUGAAGCGUCGCUGUGGUGGCAGCAUCUUCCUGUUCUAUGGGAUGUGGUGGCCGGUUUCCAGUGUGAUUGGGAAACUGAAAAUUAAAAGCAAGAUCUUCC
rnacentral:lncRNA from 1 species